CUUACCUGGUCUUGACAUCCACGGAAUUUGGCAGAGAUGCCUUAGUGCCUUCGGGAGCCGUGAGACAGGUGCUGCAUGGCUGUCGUCAGCUCGUGUUGUGAAAUGUUGGGUUAAGUCCCGCAACGAGCGCAACCCUUAUCCUUUGUUGCCAGCGGUCCGGCCGGGAACUCAAAGGAGACUGCCAGUGAUAAACUGGAGGAAGGUGGGGAUGACGUCAAGUCAUCAUGGCCCUUACGACCAGGGCUACACACGUGCUACAAUGGCAUAUACAAAGAGAAGCGACCUCGCGAGAGCAAGCGGACCUCAUAAAGUAUGUCGUAGUCCGGAUUGGAGUCUGCAACUCGACUCCAUGAAGUCGGAAUCGCUAGUAAUCG
rnacentral:rRNA from 1 species